rnacentral:rRNA from 1 species
GACAGAGGGUGCAAACGUUGUUCGGAAUUACUGGGCGUAAAGCGUGCGCAGGCGGCUUGCUAAGACAGGUGUGAAAGCCCCGAGCUUAACUUGGGAAUGGCGCUUGUGACUGGCAGGCUGGAGUGUGGCAGAGGGAGGUGGAAUUCCACGUGUAGCAGUGAAAUGCGUAGAGAUGUGGAGGAACACCGAUGGCGAAGGCAGCCUCCUGGGCCAACACUGACGCUCAUGCACGAAAGCGUGGGGAGCAAACAGG